CAGGGAGUGCCCGGAACACCAUAACGACUCUGCGCCGCCAACUUCUACUGGAACACAUUUGGGAAAUAGAGUCUUCCAUCAUCCGCUCGAGCUGGUGGAACCAUAAUGAAUAUGACAGUCUCCUAUGUACCCAAGAAAGGGGGAAAACGAGCUACAUUUCUUAUAGAAGCUGUUUAGACAGGAGCCUAGCAUGGCUGUCCUUUGAGAGGCUCUACCAGCAGCUGACUGAUACAUGCAGAUAUUAACAGCCAACCAUUGACCUGAGAUCGGAAACCCCUAUGGAAGAAUGAGGGGAAGGACUGAAGGAACUGAAGAUUCCAGGCUGAAUCUGUAUCUACCAUUCAUCAGAAAACCACAACACUAAAUGGCUGUUUGUUGAACCUGUUUGGAUUCUGGCUGCCUGUAAACCUGGAUUAUGCCACCUUUUCCUCAAAGGGAUUGGAAAGUCAAGAAGGAACGAGGUUUCCGCGGGAAAGGGAUAUCCCAAGGUUUUGCCAAUAGAAAGCACCAACGACUUACAGUCUAUUGAGUGGAGACUGAUAUAUGGUAAGUGAUUUACAAAACUCUGCUCUGAAGCCAAUCCCUAGAGAUAUGAUGCUCUCUCUUCAUGGAAACUGGACCCAAAAAGAAAAAUGAACUCUCAUUCUUCCAGUGGUCAGCUCCUGUGGUCAUUCCCUAGAGUGUACAGGACCAGAGGAUGGAUGGCUGGUUUUGACUACAUUUAUAAUCUUCAAUGGCUAAUCCUUUAUGUCUUACAUAUUAAGAGGACAUAUUGCAACAUUUACUUUUUCCCCCUUGGGAUUUUUGUCUUCAUCAAAGAACUGGAAAUAUGACGUGCUGAAAUAAAACCUGUGCUAGAAGGAAUUCUGCCUAUCCUCUGACAUUUCUUCGUAAAGUAUUAAUGAUUCUUCUAUUUUUCUAAAUUACAGUGAUGGAUGCAUCUUGGCAAAGUGAAAAUUGAAUAUAAAAUGUUGUGAUGAAUUAUAAAUAUAGACAUAUUUCAUUCUCUCAUCUCAAUACUUUGCAUUAAAUAUGAGUGUUGUAUUUCUUUCAAGUGAUGGAGUUAAUUUUAUCUGGGAAAAUAAUAAAGUGAUCAUUCAUUUUUGAAA